UUGUCUUAGGAUUUCUGGGCGUAAUACCGAUAACAAAGUAGUAGGAAAGCACUGCCAGCAGAUAAGCUGAGCAGCUGUACAACAAGUAGUAGAAGUAGAAGAAGAGGAAGGAGAAGAGAAUGAGAACUCUACUCCUUUCCCUCCCCAGUCCUCAUCCCACCCUCACUGCCCCAACCUCCCUCUCCUCGCUCUCACCAAAACCAACCCUAACCCCAAAAUCCCUUCCUCUCCUCUCCGCCACUCCCUCCACCUCGCUCUAUUUUCUCGCUCUCGCCACCAAGAAUCCAUGGGGAAAGGCCGGGAAGAAGAGGACGAGGAAGGGGCGGAGGGAUCUCCGUGCCGGCGCCGACGAGGACGACGUGGAGGCGGGCGCCGGCGAUGAGUACGACCUGGAGGAGGGGGACGAGGUGGAGGAGCUGGACAACAAGAAGGACUACGACGUCGAGUACGACCGCCUCCUCGGCGCUCCCGUCUCGCCCGCUGCCGCCGCUGCCGAGGACGCGUCGCCGGACGAUAUCGAGAUGGUGCCGAGCGAGAGCUUUGUGUCGACCCAGGGUUGGGACUCGGAGACGGUGGUCGAUUACCGGAUCAACGAGGAGGAGUUCCACAAGAUCAGCCUCCUCCAUUGUGACUUCUUUAUACGGAAGCCCCCCGACCCCGAUAACAAUGUCUUCGACUUCAGAGAGAUGUAUGUCACUCCUCCUGACACCGAUGUGUAUUCGAUUCCAAAGGUUCUCUCUCCGAUGCCGCAGAAGUACAUACGCUGUUCAAAAUCUAAUUAUGGAUGCUAUAAUGUUACUGAACCACCCAUAGAUGCACCUCGAGAUCCAUUAUAUAAAACUGAGCGGGAGAUCCAUAAGGUUUUCUUAACAAAGCACUACAGAAACAGGCGACUGAGUGAUGCAGAGUUCGUUCUUGAUUUUGAGGAGAUUUACGUUAUUGACUCGAAAACAAAAUCAAUCACAAGAGCCAAAGUUUUGGCUUCUGCAUGUUGAAGAGAUUGGAGUAUGUCAAUGGCAGAGCGGAAAACUUGAUAUCAUAAAACUUACCGGCAUGCUCCAUCUAAUUUUUUACGUCCGUUUUGAAGAACUUGAACAAGUUACCAUUUUAAUUUUAAAUUCAGGUAACUAUUCCCGAAGGAAAAAACAGGGAUAGAAGUAAUGACCUGCUAAUCAUACGUGAUGGCGGAACUUCUUUCAAAAUUAUCGACAAGAGUGAAAGGGUUGAUCCAACUACUGUCAUAGAGAGAGAGGAGUGGAUCCAGACGAGACAAGAGAUGGAGAAUCAUCUUCGGAAGCUGCGGGACUUCCCUGUUUCAAAUUGGUUUUAAUGAGUUGAUAUUAAAUUAUCAGGGGCAAAUAUUGAUGUCAGUUUUUGUAUGGCUAUUAGAUGCAAUAUCUAGGGCAGGAAUUCUUGUGUAAAGAACUAUGUUUUGGUGAAAGUAUAAAAAAAGUUACUGAUCACCAUUAAACGUUAUGCAGUGAUUUAGAUGCAGUAUUCUGGUGGGCACAGAGCUUUUAGUGAAGUGUUUAAUUUCUUUAA